GACGAACGCUGGCGGCGUGCCUAAUACAUGCAAGUAGAACGCACAGUUUAUACCGUAGCUUGCUACACCAUAAACUGUGAGUUGCGAACGGGUGAGUAACGCGUAGGUAACCUGCCUGGUAGCGGGGGAUAACUAUUGGAAACGAUAGCUAAUACCGCAUAAUAUUGAUUAUUGCAUGAUAAUUGAUUGAAAGCUGCUAUUGCAUCACUACCAGAUGGACCUGCGUUGUAUUAGCUAGUAGGUGAGGUAACGGCUCACCUAGGCGACGAUACAUAGCCGACCUGAGAGGGUGAUCGGCCACACUGGGACUGAGACACGGCCCAGACGCCUACGGGAGGCAGCAGUAGGGAAUCUUCGGCAAUGGACGAAAGUCUGACCGAGCAACGCCGCGUGAGUGAAGAAGGUUUUCGGAUCGUAAAGCUCUGUUGUAAGAGAAGAACGGGUGUGAGAGUGGAAAGUUCACACUGUGACGGUAUCUUACCAGAAAGGGACGGCUAACUACGUG
rnacentral:rRNA from 1 species